rnacentral:lncRNA from 1 species
AGAUUGUCAGGUCCUGCUGACUUGUGGCUCAGGCAUCCUUGUACAGAUGUCGUCCAUCAUCAGCAACCAAGAUGAAGACUUACUGAACUACAUGUUGAGCUUGAGGUAAUCAUGGAUGACCUGUGGCCAAAUCCUCUUUACUGUUAACAUAAGGAAGAGCACUCAUGAAGGGAGAAUUAGGACCUUGUCAGGAUACAGAGCAGAGCAUUUCUGACUGUAGGCCAUUAAUGACCAUACACCACAUGUGGAAUUGACUGAGAUAAAUACUGGCAAAGGUC